rnacentral:tRNA from 1 species
CCUUAGAUAGUUUAAGAAAAGAACAGUAGAUUGUGGUGCUACAGGUGUAUGGUUAUUCUAGGUU